GAUGAACGCUGACAGAAUGCUUAACACAUGCAAGUCAACUGUGGCGGACGGGUGAGUAACGCGUAAAGACAUUGCCUCACGGAUAGGGACAACCAUUGGAAACGAAUGCUAAUACAUGAACCUGUGAGACAUCGUUGCGUCCCAUUAGAUAGUUGGAUAGGGAACGGCUCACCAAGGCGAGGAUGGGUAGCCGGCCUGCGAGGGUGAUCGGCCACAAGGGGACUGAGACACGGUCCUUACUCCUACGGGAGGCAGCAGUUGGGAAGAUUGGACAAGGGACCAAAGUCUGAUCCAGCAAUUCGGUGUGAACGAUGAAGUUUUCGGAAUGGAAAGUGCUUUCAGUAUGGAAGCGUUACCAACAGAAGAAGUGACGGCUAACUACGUGCCAGCCGCCGCGGUAAUUC
rnacentral:rRNA from 1 species